AUUGAACGCUGGCGGCGUGCUUAACACAUGCAAGUCGAUCGGUAACGCGGGGGCAACCCUGGCGACGAGAGGCGGACGGGUGAGGAACGCUUGGGAAUCUGCCUAUCAGCGGGGGACAACACGGGGAAACUCGUGCUAAUACCGCAUACGCUCUACGGAGGAAAGCCGGGGACCGCAAGGCCUGGCACUGAUAGAUGAGCCCAAGCCGGAUUAGCUAGUUGGCGGGGUAACGGCCCACCAAGGCGACGAUCCGUAGCUGGUCUGAGAGGACGAUCAGCCACACUGGGACUGAGACACGGCCCAGACUCCUACGGGAGGCAGCAGUGGGGAAUAUUGGACAAUGGGCGCAAGCCUGAUCCAGCCAUACCGCGUGGGUGAAGAAGGCCUUCGGGUUGUAAAGCCCUUUUGUUGGGAAAGAAAUCCAUCUGGUUAAUACCCGGGUGGGAUGACGGUACCCAAAGAAUAAGCACCGGCUAACUUCGUGCCAGCAGCCGCCGUAAAAC
rnacentral:rRNA from 1 species